rnacentral:rRNA from 1 species
CCUACGUGAGGCAGCAGUGGGGAAUAUUGGACAAUGGGGGGAACCCUGAUCCAGCGACGCCGCGUGAGUGAAGAAGUAUUUCGGUAUGUAAAGCUCUAUCAGCAGGGAAGAAAGAAAUGACGGUACCUGACUAAGAAGCCUCGGCUAACUACGUGCCAGCAGCCGCGGUAAUACGUAGGGGGCAAGCGUUAUCCGGAUUUACUGGGUGUAAAGGGAGCGUAGACGGCGAUGCAAGUCUGAAGUGAAAGGCGGGGGCCCAACCCCCGGACUGCUUUGGAAACUGUAUGGCUGGAGUGCAGGAGAGGUAAGUGGAAUGCCUAGGGUAGCGGUGAAAUGCGUAGAUAUUAGGAGGAACACCAGUGGCGAAGGCGGCUUACUGGACUGUAACUGACGUUGAGGCUCGAAAGCGUGGGGAGCAAACAGGAUUAGAUACCCUGGUAGUC